rnacentral:rRNA from 1 species
GCGUGCUUAACACAUGCAAGUCGAGCGGUAAGGCCCUUCGGGGUACACGAGCGGCGAACGGGUGAGUAACACGUGGGUAAUCUGCCUCAUACUCUGGGAUAAGCCUGGGAAACUGGGUCUAAUACCGGAUAGGACCAUUGCACGCAUGUGUGGUGGUGGAAAGUUCCGGCGGUAUGGGAUGAGCCCGCGGCCUAUCAGCUUGUUGGUGGGGUAGUGGCCUACCAAGGCGACGACGGGUAGCCGGCCUGAGAGGGUGACCGGCCACACUGGGACUGAGACACGGCCCAGACUCCUACGGGAGGCAGCAGUGGGGAAUAUUGCACAAUGGGCGAAAGCCUGAUGCAGCGACGCCGCGUGAGGGAUGACGGCCUUCGGGUUGUAAACCUCUUUCGCCAGGGACGAAGCGCAAGUGACGGUACC